rnacentral:rRNA from 1 species
UACAGAGGGUGCGAGCGUUGUCCGGAAUCACUGGGCGUAAAGGGCGCGUAGGCGGUCUGGUAAGCGUGUGGUGAAAGCUCGGGCUCAACCCCGAGUCGGCCGUGCGAACUGCGAGACUGGAGCAGAUCAGAGGCAGGCGGAAUUCCGGGUGUAGCGGUGGAAUGCGUAGAGAUCCGGAAGAACAUCAGUGGCGAAGGCGGCCUGCUGGGCUGUUGCUGACGCUGAGGCGCGGACAGCGUGGGGAGCAAACAGG